rnacentral:rRNA from 1 species
AGAGUUUGAUCAUGGCUCAGAACGAACGCUGGCGGCGUGCCUAACACAUGCAAGUCGAACGAGAAAGUUUCUUCGGAAACGAGUAAAGUGGCGCACGGGUGAGUAACACGUGAAUAAUCUGCCUUCGAGACUGGGAUAACUUGACGAAAGUUAAGCUAAUACCAGAUAAGACCACGCUUCACAAGGAGUGCGGGAAAAGGGAUCUCAAAUCCUGCUCGUAGAUGAGUUCGCGUACCAUUAGCUUGUUGGUGAGAUAAAAGCUCACCAAGGCGACGAUGGUUAGCCGGCCUGAGAGGGUGAUCGGCCACACUGGAACUGAGACACGGUCCAGACUCCUACGGGAGGCAGCAGUGGGGAAUCUUGCGCAAUGGGCGAAAGCCUGACGCAGCAACGCCGCGUGAGCGAUGAAGGCCUUCGGGUCGUAAAGCUCUGUCAAGUGGGAAGAACACAAUGACGGUACCACUAGAGGAAGCCCCGGCUAACUUCGUGCCAGCAGCCGCGGUAAUACGAAGGGGGCAAGCGUUGUUCGGAAUUAUUGGGCGUAAAGCGUAUGUAGGUGGUUUAUCAAGUCAGACGUGCAAGCCCUCGGCUCAACCGAGGAAUUGCGUUUGAAACUGAUAGACUUGAGUGUAGGAGAGGAAAGCGGAAUUCCCAGUGUAGCGGUGAAAUGCGUUGAUAUUGGGAAGAACACCGGUGGCGAAAGCGGCUUUCUGGCCUGCUACUGACACUGAGAUACGAAAGCCAGGGGAGCAAAGGGGAUUAGAUACCCCCGUAGUC